UAUGUCAGUUUCUUUUCUUUUCUGCUAUAGCGUAUGUCAGUUUCAUUUCUGCUACAGCGUAUUUUCAUCUCCCGAGAAAUCUUCAAAAUCUGCCCAAAAUCUUUUUACUUCCUACCGAGCCUUAUCUCUGCAACCUCUUCACUCUUUUUUUUUUAAAACUCUCCCAAACCCAUCAGAACCUUCUCUGUCAUUUUCCAUCUCUGAAACUCUGUCAUUUUCUAUCUCUGAAUCUGCAAGAAUAUUUCUACCUCAAGAGUUCAAGACACUUAUCAAGGCAAGCAGAUACUACUACACAUUCAUCAAACAUUCACCAAAAUCCAACUGAACAAGGUUCGAUCUUCUCCCUUCAACUUUAUACCACAGCAUGUGUUCCUCUACAUCAAAUAUAGAACUAGAUUUACAGUCUCACUCAUUGACAUGAACUUGAACAGCAUGCUUUUCAUUCAUAACUUGUAAGGAUUUUUAGUAAAACACAAUCUCUGCUACAAUAAGACUAAUAAAAUCUGUACAAUAAGAAAAUAGCUAGAUCAAGAACAAUCUGUACCAACAAACACCAAGACUCGACCUUCUUUUCCCCUUCCUUCCUCGAGAACCAAUUCCCACCAUUAUACAAGAACUUACCUUACUUCUCAUCUGCAAGAUUCAUUUUUUUCUCUAAGAACAAAUCUUCCUGUCACAUUCUUCCUUCGUUGUUGGGAUGGGUUGGAGCGCGAGAGUGUGAGAAGGGGUUCCCGUUCCUUUCUUUUGGUGGUUGCAUAAGCACCGCCCUGUCGGAGAGGGCGGCGGCGCGGCGGCUCCCUUCUGGGCCUGCUGCUGCCGGAUUCGCGUGAGGAAAAGAGGGAGAAGGCGAACGGCGGCUGGGCAAGGUGACGCCGAAGAAGGCGGCGCGGCCGGCCAUGGUCUGAAUCGGAGCUCGGCAGCGGCGGUGGCAGCCUGGCAGCUGCUGUCCGUCAAAGCCAGGAGGAGAGGGGAGAACAGUGGGCCGGGGUGGCCUUCGUUUUGCUCGCCGGAGGUUGACGGUGGCGCGGCCGGAGGCCAGGCGCGCGGCCCGCUGCGAAAAUGGCAGCAGCGGCGGCGGCCUUCCUCGGCCGUCCGCCGCAGAGGACGCGAAGGAGAGGAGUGGCGUGCGGCGACUGGCAACUGACGACUGGCGGCGAGCCUCGCCGGGGUGGCUGCGGCGGCAGCGGCGGCGGCGGCGUGCUGGACUGGAGAGGGGUGGCCGAAGGGUGUGAGAGAGGGAGAGAGGGAGGCGUGAGUUCAGUGGGUGAGAAGAGAGAGAGAGAGUUUGUCCUUAUUUCUAAAUUUCAUUUUAGGGCUUAAUUUAGGCUUUAAUUGUUUUGGGCUGAUUUUAUUAGUUUUAUGGGCCGAUUUUUUUAAUUGACUGGUGGGCUGAUUUUAUUAUUUCUAAUGGGUUCUACUUUCUUAAUAAAAUACUUGGGCUGCUUUAUUAAUAACAAGACUUCAAAUUAUUUUCUUUGGACCUGUAAAUGUUUUAAUAAAAAUAUUAAUUUUUCUUCCAAUAAUAAGAUUCUAUAUUUUCUUUAAAUGAUUAAUAAUUUUUAGAUUUAGUGUUAAUUAUAUUUGUUAAAAUUACUAAUUAUGUAUUAAAAGUUUAUGGAUUCACAGAGAUUAUUAAUUCGGGCAAAGUGUAUCAAUAGUUAGUGAUUUUCCCCUCUUUAUUUAGAAGUUAGAAUAGCACCAAGAGACCUAUUAAGAAUAGAUUUCUUGUAGGCCUUGAGGACCAGGAGGAU
rnacentral:lncRNA from 1 species